UGGGGAAUUUUGGACAAUGGGGGAAACCCUGAUCCAGCCAUCCCGCGUGUGCGAUGAAGGCCUUCGGGUUGUAAAGCACUUUUGGCAGGAAAGAAACGUCGCGGGUUAAUACCCCGCGAAACUGACGGUACCUGCAGAAUAAGCACCGGCUAACUACGUGCCAGCAGCCGCGGUAAUACGUAGGGUGCAAGCGUUAAUCGGAAUUACUGGGCGUAAAGCGUGCACAGGCGGUUCGGAAAGAAAGAUGUGAAAUCCCAGAGCUUAACUUUGGAACUGCAUUUUUAACUACCGGGCUAGAGUGUGUCAGAGGGAGGUGGAAUUCCGCGUGUAGCAGUGAAAUGCGUAGAUAUGCGGAGGAACACCGAUGGCGAAGGCAGCCUCCUGGGAUAACACUGACGCUCAUGCACGAAAGCGUGGGGAGCAAACAGGAUUAGAUACCCUGGUAGUCCACGCCCUAGACGAUGUCAACUAGCUGUUGGGGCCUUCGGGCCUUGGUAGCGCAGCCUAACGCGUGAAGUUGACCGCCUGGGGAGUACGGUCGCAAGAUUAAAACUCAAAGGAAUU
rnacentral:rRNA from 1 species